rnacentral:rRNA from 1 species
UACGUAGGUGGCAAGCGUUGUUCGGAAUUAUUGGGCGUAAAGGGCGCGUAGGCGGUCAGCACAAGUCAGUUGUGAAAUCUCCGGGCUUAACUCGGAAAGGUCAACUGAUACUGUGCGACUAGAGUGCAGAAGGGGCAACUGGAAUUCUCGGUGUAGCGGUGAAAUGCGUAGAUAUCGAGAGGAACACCUGCGGCGAAGGCGGGUUGCUGGGCUGACACUGACGCUGAUGCGCGAAAGCCAGGGGAGCGAACGGG